GCACUAAUGGGGUAGUGGUAACCUCAGUCGUUGCCACGAUGCCUUGUCGACUGGCCGCGAGUUCGAUUCUCGCUUAGUGCA